GCUGCAACUCGCCUGCAUGAAGUCGGAAUCGCUAGUAAUCGCGGAUCAGCACGCCGCGGUGAAUACGUUCCCGGGCCUUGUACACACCGCCCGUCACACCACGGAAGUUGGGAGUACCCAAAGUAGGUUGCCUAACCGCAAGGAGGGCGCUUCCUAAGGUAAGACCGAUGACUGGGGUGAAGUCGUAACAAGGUACC
rnacentral:rRNA from 1 species